CCUACGGGCGGCUGCAGUGGGGAAUAUUGCACAAUGGGCGCAAGCCUGAUGCAGCCAUGCCGCGUGUGUGAAGAAGGCCUUCGGGUUGUAAAGCACUUUCAGCGGGGAGGAAGGCGUUAAGGUUAAUAACCUUGUCGAUUGACGUUACCCGCAGAAGAAGCACCGGCUAACUCCGUGCCAGCAGCCGCGGUAAUACGGAGGGUGCAAGCGUUAAUCGGAAUUACUGGGCGUAAAGCGCACGCAGGCGGUCUGUCAAGUCGGAUGUGAAAUCCCCGGGCUCAACCUGGGAACUGCAUUCGAAACUGGCAGGCUAGAGUCUUGUAGAGGGGGGUAGAAUUCCAGGUGUAGCGGUGAAAUGCGUAGAGAUCUGGAGGAAUACCGGUGGCGAAGGCGGCCCCCUGGACAAAGACUGACGCUCAGGUGCGAAAGCGUGGGGAGCAAACAGGAUUAAAUACCCGAGUAGUC
rnacentral:rRNA from 1 species